rnacentral:rRNA from 1 species
AACGAACGCUGGCGGCAGGCCUAACACAUGCAAGUCGAGCGAAGCCUUCGGGCUUAGCGGCGGACGGGUGAGUAACGCGUGGGAACGUGCCCUUUGGUACGGAAUAGCCCCGGGAAACUGGGAGUAAUACCGUAUGUGGUCGAGAGACGAAAGAUUUAUCGCCAAAGGAUCGGCCCGCGUUGGAUUAGGUAGUUGGUGGGGUAAUGGCCUACCAAGCCGACGAUCCAUAGCUGGUUUGAGAGGAUGAUCAGCCACACUGGGACUGAGACACGGCCCAGACUCCUACGGGAGGCAGCAGUGGGGAAUCUUAGACAAUGGGGGCAACCCUGAUCUAGCCAUGCCGCGUGAUCGAUGAAGGCCUUAGGGUUGUAAAGAUCUUUCAGUGGGGAAGAUAAUGACUGUACCCACAGAGGAAGCCCCGGCUAACUCCGUGCCAGCCGCCGCUGUAAAAC